rnacentral:rRNA from 1 species
GACGUAGGGGGCGAGCGUUGUCCGGAUUUAUUGGGCGUAAAGAGCGUGUAGGCGGCUAGGUAGGUCCGUUGUGAAAACUCGAGGCUCAACCUCGAGACGCCGAUGGAAACCAUCUAGCUAGAGUCCGGAAGAGGAGAGUGGGAUUCCUGGUGUAGCGGUGAAAUGCGCAGAUAUCAGGAAGAACACCCGUGGCUAAGGCGGCUCUCUAGUACGGUACUGACGCUGAGACGCGAAAGCGUGGGGAGCGAACAGG